UACGAGGGGGGCAAGCGUUGUUCGGAAUUAUUGGGCGUAAAGGGCGCGUAGGCGGUGCGGUAAGUCACCUGUGAAAACUCUGGGCUCAACUCAGAGCCUGCAGGCGAAACUGCCGUGCUUGAGUGUGGGAGAGGUGCGUGGAAUUCCCGGUGUAGCGGUGAAAUGCGUAGAGAUCGGGAGGAACACCAGAGGCGAAAGCGGCGACCUGGACAGGCACUGACACUCAACUACGAAAGCGUGGGGAGCAAACAGG
rnacentral:rRNA from 1 species